GAUGAACGCUAGCGGCAGGCCUAAUACAUGCAAGUCGAACGGUGUCUUCGGACAUAGUGGCGCACGGGUGCGUAACACGUAUGCAACCUACCUUACAUUGGGGGAUAGUCUUUCGAAAGGGAGAUUAAUACCGCAUAAGACAGUAGCUGGGCAUCCAGCAGCUGUUAAAGAUUUAUCGAUGUAAGCUGGGCAUGCGUCCAAUUAGCUAGUUGGUGAGGUAACGGCUCACCAAGGCAAUGACUGGUAGGGGAACUGAGAGGUCAAUCCCCCACACUGGCACUGAGAUACGGGCCAGACUCCUACGGGAGGCAGCAGUAGGGAAUAUUGGGCAAUGGACGCAAGUCUGACCCAGCCAUGCCGCGUGCAGGAUGAAGGCGUUAUGCGUUGUAAACUGCUUUUAUACAGGAAGAAACGACUCUUGCGAGAGGCAUUGACGGUACUGUAUGAAUAAGCACCGGCUAACUCCGUGCCAGCAGCCGCCGUAAAAC
rnacentral:rRNA from 1 species